UGAAUACGAGAUGCUACGGCGUCGAAGCAGUGUAUGUCAGACUUCCAAGAAAAGCUCGCAAUGUCAUAAAUAAAGAAUGCCUGUACCAUAACCGACACAGGUGGGUAGGUAGAGUAUACUAAGGGGCGCGAGAUAACUCUCUCUAAGGAACUCGGCAAAAUAACUCCGUAACUUCGGGAGAAGGAGUGCCUUCUUUAAGAAGGUUGCAAUAACAAGAUCCAAGCAACUGUUUAUCAAAAACACAGGUCUCCGCUAAGUCGUAAGACGAUGUAUGGGGGCUGACGCCUGCCCAGUGCCAGAAGGUUAAAGAAGUUGGUUAGCUUUUGCGAAGCUGAUGACUGAAGCCCUGGUGAACGGCGGCCGUAACAAUAACGGUCCUAAGGUAGCGAAAUUCCUUGUCGGGUAAGUUCCGACCCGCACGAAAGGCGUAAUGAUUUGGAUACUGUCUCGGAGAGGGACUCGGUGAAAUAGACUUGUCUGUGAAGAUGCGGACUACCUGCACCAGGACAGAAAGACCCUAUGAAGCUUUACUGUAACUUGAAAUUGAAAUUGGACUUUAUUUGCGCAGUAUAGGUGGAAGGCGUUGAAAGUAAUCUUGCGGGAUUAGUGGAGCCAUCAGUGAGAUACCACUCCUAUAAUGUUAGAUUUCUAACUUUGGAUCAUGAUCUGGUCAAAGAACAGUUUCAGGCGGGCAGUUUGACUGGGGCGGUCGCCUCCCAAAUGGUAACGGAGGCGUACAAAGGUUUCCUCUGAACGGGUAGAAAUCGUAUCUAGAGUGUAAAGGCAUAAGGAAGCUUGACUGUGAGACCUACAAGUCGAGCAGGGACGAAAGUCGGUCUUAGUGAUCUGACGGUGCUGAGUGGAAAGGCCGUCACUCAACGGAUAAAAGUUACUCUAGGAUAACAGGCUGAUCUCCCCCAAGAGUUCACAUCGACGGGGAGGUUUGGCACCUCGAUGUCGGCUCAUCGCAUCCUGGGGCGGUAGUACGUCCCAAGGGUUGGGCCGUUCGCCCAUGAAAGCGGUACGCGAGCUGGGUUCAGAACGUCGUGAGACAGUUCGGUCCAUAUCCGGUGUAGGCGUUAGAAUAUUGAGAGGAGCCUUCUUUAGUACGAGAGGACCGAGAAGGACAUACCUCUGGUGUACCAGUUAUCGUGCCAACGGUAAACGCUGGGUAGCUAUGUAUGGAGAGGAUAACCGCUGAAAGCAUCUAAGUGGGAAGCCCACCUCAAGAUGAG
rnacentral:rRNA from 1 species